rfam:Pleurotus ostreatus PC15 unplaced genomic scaffold scaffold_05, whole genome shotgun sequence.
GCAUCAAUGGGGUAGUGGUAACCUGGGUCGUUGCCAUUGAGUAUAUCGACCCGCCGCGAGUUCAAUUCUCGCUUGAUGCA